UCAAUCACAAAGACCUUAAGUAGAAUCAGGUGUCUUAGUGUGGGGCUAAAUCAAAGUCCUGCAAUCAUGCUGAUCCUUUUCAGAUGAGAUUGGACACCCCUGCUUUACAUGGAUGGGUCCUGGAGAGCAGCAGAGUCUGCUGAUUUUAGUUUUUUCUUCAAGAUCAGUGACUAAUUCAGACCCAAGCAACCAGAUGACCUAAGUUCACUGUGUAAUCAACUGCUUCAAUUGAUCAAUUGCUGUGCUACUUAAGUUCCAAGUAACAACGCAAGCCAGCAGACUCUGUCUCUCCAGGACCAGGAGUGAAGCCCACUGACUCAAUGAUAUGCUUUACAUAGCAUUUAAACUUCCAUGUUCACUUUCCUUCCUGACUCUCCCCAUAUGAAAAGAACAGAUGGGGAGCCUGAUGCAACUUAUAACUUGCAUCGCAAGCACCUUUCGAACAGAGAAUCAGCAGCCUUGUUUCUCAAAAUAGUUUAAGUCCACAUGUUUCCUUGCCUGGUUUUCAUACUGUAGUCACAUUUGUAUUACAUUGCAUUAUUAUUUUGCUUUGCAGACAGUCUUGUUGAGGGCGUCACCCUCCACAUUUUAUAAUCCAAUUAGACAGGCUUGAUUUUAAUUGGUGCAAUUGAGCUUAAGAGCUUUUUCUAACAGCACAAUCGCAGCCCUCUCCAAACAGCUGUCCAAUCAGUUUCUGACUGUCUCUUCAUUUAAAGUGUCUGUCUCUACUUGCACAACUACAAGAGUGAUACUUACAUCUACCUAUUUUUAAAGAACCCUUCAAGUUAUGACUAAUUCAGAAAAACCUCUUAAAAUAUGAUUAUCAUCCCUCUCCUCUCUCUUGCUUUUUCUUUCUCUCAGUACAUAUGCAUCAUUCUAUAUUUUGUCUUUUUUAUCUUUGAAGUGACAAAACGGGGGUUCUUGUUUUAUACAUUGUUCAAUUGCUUUUUUCUUAAUCUGUCUGUACCCUGAACAUGUGUGACCCUCACUUUCUCACUGCAGCUGCACACACAUUUCUCUCAUUCAGCAUCAUUCAGUUUUUUUUUUUUUCUCUUCCUCUUGGCAUUUGCCUAUUUACCUUUUUACAGUUACUAAUCUAGUUGAGUUCAAAGCAUGUGUGUGUUUUGCAUCCAUUUACUUCUGUUCUAGGUUUUUUGUUUUUUCUCAGGUUUUGUCUUGUGUGUCCCCUGCAUGGAUCAGACUCAUUGCCCUAGGAAUGGGUAUUGAUAUUAGAUGGAGAAUGAUUGUAUUUUAUUGUUAAAGCUCAUCACUCACACAGCUCUCUGGAACUGCAUUCACUGAUUACACUCUCUCUUGCAUACACACACUCUCGCUCUCUUUCUCUCACACAUACACACGCACACACACCCAUAACACAACAACAUAUAUGCACAAAUAUUCAGUUAUUGCACACCAGCACACAUACUCAAAAAGGCAGACACACACCAGGAACUCAUGCAGGCACA